AGAAAGUUUUAAAAAAACUUAACAGUAACCUAAAAGCAAAUCUUGCUUAACUUAAUGAGAGAAAGUAUGACUGACUAUCACUUCAGAUAUGAGGGGAAAGGUUGACAGAAAAUUUUUCUUGGUAUGAAAUUUAAAAAGUGAAUUUAUGAAUACUCAGUAUAUGGCACCUAAAGGAGUAAAGUAUCAUUUUAGCAUACUCUAUUUGGAGAUUUAGCUGGUUUUGAAUUUUUUUCCCUCUAAAAAAUAGCUAUAGGCAAUGUAUUAUCCUGUUGGGUGGUUGCAUAGUACUUUAGGAGAGAAGAAUUAAGGAAUUACUGCCUUUACUUUCAGUUCUUAAAUAUAGAUGAAUUUAAGGUUGUUAUUUUAAGGGGCAGUAUUUUCUGUCUCAUCACGUCAAGUACCAUAUUUUGCUGUGGAUAAUGCACACAUUUUUGCAGGAAAAAUAAGAUGCACAUUAUACAUGAGUGUAAUGAAUACACGCCACGGGCAUAGCAGUCCUCGUGUAUAAUGCACACAAAACCAUGGGUGCACAUUAUACACAGCAAAAUACAGUAUUUUGUUAUGGUUUUUACUUAGCAUAGUUAUGGCAUAUCUUACUUGUGAGCUUAUAUAUUUUUCAAGAUAUCCCAGGAAUAUUUGCAUUCUUAUGGCUACAAGAAAAGCUUACCCAAAAGUGAGUUCUGUGUUUUAAUGAAUUUUUGCAGGGAGGAGGAGAGUUUCAAGGAAAAGUGAAGCAAGCAGUUUCUCUCAUUGAUACUGGAAAUCUAAAUAGGACUGUUGAAUUGCUUUACAUUUUUGCUUUGUUUUUGUAAUUGAAUAUGUUUUAGGCCAAAUUACAAUUUGUUUCUCUAUGUACUCAAUUGCAGUGUCUUAUAAACUUACAUUAGAUUGAAUUUUCAUACAGACUGGAAAUGAGCCUUUGUUAUAAGCUAUACUAAAUUUCAGUUCUAUAGUUAUAUAAAAUAUAAAUUGUACAAAAAAGAGAAACUGGUGGAAAUUUUUUUACUGAUAUGACAUGGGUGUUCACUGUCUGGAAUUUCCCUAUAAUCGUCACGAAUCAUAUUAGGUUGAGAAAUCCAGAAAUAUUUCAACAUAUAUCUGUGCUGGAAAAUAACUUAGUUAGCAGGAGAGAUUGUUCCAGUCUGUUCUUUUAAGAUGGGCUUAUUUUUAUUCUUUGGAGGGUAUUUCAGUUUCCUAGGUGAAUGACUGAGUACUGUGGGAGUUUGAGACUGGGUGCCAGAAGAAGUCUUCUUUCUACACAAAGGGGCUAAAGUGCUCUGAUUUACAGUAACACAUUGACAUUUUAGGAAACUGUAUUUAAUUCAUUUUAACAAACUAAGAUAAUACUGUACUUUACCAGGGGCAGAGGAUAACUAGGCCCAUUUCAGGAUGAUCAAGUUGAAUUAAAUUGCACAUUUCAGAGUAAGCAUCGAUAUGAAGCUUAUUUCAGAUUUUUCAUCCCAGAUUUAUUAGUCUAGGUCAGAGUGUGUAUGAACAUUGACUUUGGUGGGAAAAGGUCAGCAUUUCAAAGCUACCUAUUUCAUUCUGAACUAGGAGGAUUGUAAUCUUACAGCUGAACUUUUGUGAAUGUUCACUUUUUUCCAGUAUAUUUUGGAUUGUUUGGUCACUGCUGUAUUUUCAUGCUUCAACUAAUAACUUGUCACAGCAGGCCCUCUACAUUUUUGUUGAAUGACUUCAUAAAAUGAAUGAAUGAAUGAUUGUUAGCCCUUCUUUGAUUGUUUGAGAGCAUGUAAGGUAUGUUGAAUUGUUUGAUCUCUCCCCAUUGAAAUGGUUUUAUGAUUACAGUGAGAAGUAACUCACUUGAAGAAUGCAUGUGCUCUUCUCAUGAUCCGCUUGUUCCAGACAUUCUGGAAUCCAGAUCCAUAGGUCUCCUUUGUUUAUUUUUCUUUUAAGGAUAUUUAUGACUGUCUAAGGUAAUGGCUAAAGAAUCAGAACUGGUUAGAACUCUUGGUUGUCCAAGCAGUCAUUUUUUUAUAUACCCAUUCAAAGGAUGUAGAAUUGGAGGUCCAUUUAUCUCUGUUGUUCUUCAGAUCUUUCCCAGAGAAGAUAAUAAAAAAAAAAAUGAAGACAUUGGUGUCAUUUACUUUUCAACAAAGGAAUACAUUUAGAUAGUGAUGUAGCGUGCCUUUUGUGCCAUUUGCACUGUCUCAUUUUAAUUAUUCAAAUAUCCCUGCAAGUUUGGAAUAGUGAGUGAUUAGCCCAUUUUUAUAGAUCGGGAAACUAAGACUUUCAGAUGUCACAUUAUUUGUACCUUAGGAUAUAUACUUCUUGAAGGCUGCAGAUGUGUCUAUCUUGUUCACCAUGGUGUUUUCAUUAUGUAGUAUAGUGCCUGGCACAUUGGCUUUACUCUAGUCUGAGAUCACAUGACUAAUUUGGGGAAGCCACUGAAAUUGCAUAUGGUUUUCACACCUAUGAAUUCUUCUCACUGUAGUUCUUCUAAGCUUUCUAAGAGAUCCCUUUGACUUUUCUGAAAAAGUGGUCAUAUUCUAGUGGCAUGCUUAUCUUAACUUUCUCCGUAGGGACAGGAUUUUGGCCUACUGCCUGUUUUAAUGCUGUGUCAUAGACCUCUCUACACAGACUGUAUUUAUUGGCUGCUUAUAGUGUUAUAUAUUUUUUCAACUUACGUUUUCAAGUUGUAUAGUCAGUGAAUAUAACUGGAAAGAAGUGUAACUGGCGAACUGGUCAUUGUUAAACAUAAGGCUACAUCCCAGCACACUCUGCUCCUAUGAGCCCCGCGGGUUCGUACAGUAGUCUGCCUCUCCUGUUCUUCUGAUCUUAUAAAAGGACUCUCCCGGGUUAGCUCUUUUCUUUUGCUCUGUGAUUCCUGCUAUUUUGAAGCUGUGGAAACAGUGAAAGGUGUUGACGUUUCCUUGCCAUUCUACUGGGCCUUUACCGGUGAUGCAGCAGAAUGGAGCAGAACCGUGCCAGUGGAGUGCUGGAGAUGACUCGUACCGUCUUGCAGGAGCUGGCUGUCAAACUGUCAGGCAUUCUGUGAGCUGGUUUUUAAACAGUCAUUUUUAAAUAUGAAAAAUACAAGCUUGCAAUUUAAAUUACAUUUAAUAACAAAGCUAAUAAUAAAUGCUCAAAACUCCACUCCUGGUUAUUUAACUACAUGUUGCUGUUUUUGCUCUUCAGGUUUUUUUGUUGUUUUUUUAGGUCUAUUGUAUCUGUUAUAUAUGGUGGAAAUGCUGUUCAGCCUUGUGUUGCUGCACAUGUCUUUCCAAGUCCAUGUUCAACGAUAUCCUGUUAGGUUGGUAUUGGCCAUGGUGGGAAUAUUUAUACCAAGGAAAUUGUCAAACACUACAAUCCAGGACAUACCUACCUUCUUUUUUCCUGGAGAACCAUUGAUUGUUAACUAUUUACAACCUCACAUUUACAGGGAUGCCUAGGUACAAGGAAGAGAUUGAUACUGCCAUCUUUUGUGUUAUUUGUUCGGUUAUCUGUAUAACUUUUAGUCACAGUGAGUGAAAAAAAAUAGCUAGGAUAUAGGGAGACAAUAGUGAGGAACAAAGUUUAGGCACAGAGAUGUGCCUUAGCCUGGAGGCGAACCUGCAACAGACUCCGAUAAUGGGUCUGGUAAGACGGCACUGGUUUGUUUACUAGUAGCAGAGAUAGUUUUUAGAGAAUUUCCUUUUCAAAAGAGGGAGCUUUAAAAAAUAAUGAUAAGCCAACACUUCUUUCUUAGAUAAAAGCCUUUUAAAAUAAUAAUUUAGUUUGUGUGUGUGCGAGUAAAUGUUAUUGCAUUUAAGCAGUUUUAGAAUAAUUUCAUAAGUUUUUAUAGCUCAGAGAGUCAGUUUUGUUUUUAAGACAAACAUUCGGUGCUUUUGCUCACUUUUUCACCUGGUGGUGACAGUAGUGGUGGUGUGCGUGUGGUGUCUGUGUGUGUACAACUAAUAAUUUAGCCUUUCAUAAUUUCAUAAUGUAAUUUACUUAUAUGUGGGCCUGCAGUCAAAUAGCUAAGCUGGAUUGCUCAAGGAUUUUUUCCCCUCUGUUCUACCUUGAUGUGCAGAUUUUUACUUAAUGCCAGUUAUGUUUCCUGAGUGACACCCCAGAACGUAUCACUGAUGUUUGAGUUUCAUCACCGGCCAGCCCAUGUGGGUACUCAUAGUCAUUCAUUUCUGUUCCAAGGGUAUUUUGAACACUUGGGGAACACGGAGAGUGGCCCUGAUGCUGCCAGAGGUGCACAGCAGCACCCGUGGGGGUUCCCCGAACAAGGCUCCACAGUGUUAGUUGCGCAGUGCUGCUGAACACACACACCUGAGCGUAAGGCCUGCCUGUCGAACCAAGCCAGUUGGUGCAUUUGGAGCCGGUGGGGUGGGACUUGCUGCUUGUGUACGCUCACAAAGUAGUUACUAAAUAUUAAAGUAGUCAUAGGGGAUAAAUGCUUCCAAAAGGAUGUUUUUUAAGCAGGACAGUUUUGUUUACAACAGGGAUUGGGUGACUUCAUUGGAAAACAACAUUGAGGAACAGUGGAGAUGAGUCACACAUUCUCUGGCUACUUAGCUGUAAUCAAAUAAUUAAAAACCUUUCCAUGGAUAGGGCCAUGCAGCCAGAAUAUAAACCUUCUCUAGGGACUUGCCUUUGUGAUGCCCACUUUUUAAAAAGAACAGGCUGGUGAACUUCACUGGUUCUCAUUCGGAAGCAUGCCACAUGACACUGGGUGACGACUGCAGCCCACGAGCUGGGCCAGUUGCUCUGGCCCACCACCACUCCUGCUGGGCUGGGCAGGUCACCUCGACCCUGCUCCGAAAACUUUCGGUUACUGUUCCCAUUUAAAUUCUCACAUAGUGUCUUCACAUUUUAUGCUUACCACAAAGAAAAUUCGUUGCUUAAACUUAAAAGUGGUAUUUUUAAAAAAUUAAAGGAAACUAAAAGCCACUCUGACUUAAAUACACCAGUUUAAGUCACCGAGGUCGUCGCUGCUUUGCCCCCCGCCCCCGCCCCGCCCCUUUCCAAGCUGGCUGCACUUCAAGGUGUGCUGUUCGCCUUCCUUCAAGUAGAAUUCCUAACAUUCAAAUCUAACUUUUUUGUUUAAAUUCCAGUAUCUUUCUUAUUUAAUUGAUGCAUUUCAAAACAUUAGCCUAGUUGUUUUCCCCUCCCCCUACUGACUGUUAUUAAAAAUAGAAAUGCAAGUCUAGUGGGGACAAUUACUUCCUAAUUCUGUAGGUUCCUGCAGCUUUUGUAUUCCAAGGAGCUGUCAGUACCUUUUCUGUCACUUCUGAGUUAAGUGUGGAAUAUUUAAGAUUGUGGACAAAUCAUGUAUAUGUCAUCCCAUCUCGUCCACAUUCCCCCCUCCAUCCCCAAACAAACCACAAGUGCCAUGUAGAGUACAGGCCUUUGUUGAGACUGGACAGAUACCCAAACCUCACCUUUGCUGUGAUAAUGGUUGAGGUUGGGGAGGUGAGCAAGGCUGUGAUUCAUGGCUUCAAACGAACUAGUUUUUACCUGCCUGUUUUUUCGCCUCAUCUCCAUUCCAGUGUGACUCCCAGGGUUGUGGGGACAGAAGAAAGGGUGUAAUGAUUUAUUUCCCUCCUACUUGCUUGCAGGAGAACGUGAAGGAAGCAAGCAGCAGGUGGAUGGAGCUGGUUGGGAAUGUUGUGCAGAAACAGAGCUGUGUGUAGGUUUUACUCCUUUCACUUGGUCUUCUCCCAGCUUCCUAGAUAAACUAGCAGAAAAAGCUCAGAUGAAACACAUUUGGUGACUGUCACUUUCAGGUAAUGAAACAUGCCCUUCCCAUUUAUUGACCUUAGCUAGUUUUGAGUUCAAACCAUGAAAAUAGAAUUUCAUUAUGCAAAUCUGUGAGCCACUUUAUAGCAUCACUGCCUAGCAUUUCUCUCCUGUUAAAAGUAUCCUCUCUUUACUGUAAGGUAAAACCUUUGUGUUUAUUUGGGAAAAGAAAGGGACUCCUUGGAGGCCUCUGCCCGUGGCUGUGUGGAGCUCUGUGGCUGAGACCCACACAAAGGCCCUCUGUGCGGGGCUCGGGGGCCCCACAAAGGGGGGAAGCCGAGCUGCGCUGGGAAGCCCACAGAAACCACAGAAACGCAAAGCUGAAGCUCCAGUGUCCAUUAUUUCAAGAUGCAAUUGCUCCUUUAUUUAGAAAACAGAGUGACACACCAGACAAGUACAUAAACAUUCCAGGCGAUGAACGUACUUUAAAAGCAUGUGGUUCAAAAGCACAUAGUCAUCUUCUCUGGAAUUGUUACCGGCCAUUUUAUGUGAGUCUGAUGUAGCACUCACAUGUCUUUUUUAGUUGAAAAUUCUGCUUGUGUUUGUUUUUUCCUUGUAGAUGUGUCACAUAUUGCUAUUCAAAAUUUGGAUGCCCAGCAUUUUCACCCUUUGUUCUUUUGAUUAAGAAUGGGACAUCUUUUUAAAAGUUCUCUUCAUAUAGUAGUGUGAACAGGGAACACAAUAUUGGUGGAGAUGGACUUGGGGGAGGUUGAGAGGGAGCAACUGCAUUCUUUUGGCAUUCCUGAGAGGAAUGUCAGAAAACAGCUGUAUUAACUUUUCUGUGAAGGGGGCAACAUCAGGGGAAGUGCAGAGGCCUCUCUACUGACAUGUAAAAUUCCAGCUCUUUGCAGCCAGGCUCAGACAGCUUGGCAUAGCUAUUCCUGGAGUCAGUGUGCAUGUGUGUUAAUGGCCAACAGAAAACAGCUGUAUACAUCACUAAUGAAGGUACUUUGAAAAUAAAAUAUCCAAUUGUUGGGUUUUCCCCUAUAAACACCAGAUGUGCACAGUGGUUUUACCCUGGGUCUGCCCUGAGUUUUAGCACCAUUGCUCAGGGACAUAAAUGGAAGCCAGCAUUUGAGAGCUGGACAUGUGGUGAAAGUAGAUAUGUUUGUAGCAAAAUAGGUAUGUUGUGGUUGACUAGAAACAUUUUAAGGUUUAUUAUUGUAAGAGAGCCAUUGCUGCACUGCCAGUCAUUCCAUUCCUCCUCCUCGGCCUCUUAUGAAAAGGACAUAUUGUGUGCCUGCAAACAGAUGCUGUACUAUUAGGAUUCGAACACCCAAUGGUCUUAAGCAUUUAGCAGCUUUGAGUGCUGUUCAUAGGUCGAUUAAGGGAUUUACAAUUUGUUAAGUUCUCUAAAGCAUCUCUGGAAAUGAGCAUUUUGUUACCUGUGGGAAUUCCUGUACUUUGAGUGUGUUUAACCCAUGACCAGAAAUUAGGUAGAUUUCAAUUU